GGAGACUUGAAGGGAUGUGAGGUCUCCGUGGGAGAGGUGGUCCCGGAGGGAGGCUGACUUUGGAUAAAGUAUUUAUCCAACUUGAUUUUUCCUAUGUGAAAUGGGAAUACUGCUUCAGGGGAUAGCUGUUACCUCUCAAGAACUGAGAAACCCUGUGUUCAAAGUGACAAAAGCCCUGUGUUUUGCAGGUACUGUUGAUGGCAACAUUCUUCCAGGGAAGGAGCGUGUCCUGUCCCAUGGCCUGGAGUCCUGAUCCUCUUCCAGCACCGUACCUGAUCGAUGGCUCCCGGCGAGGCCCAGUGUUCCGGCAGAGCCGCGGCAGUGGACGACGACAUUCGCCUGGGUUGCCGCCGCUUUUAUAGCGUAAUGCACCAAAAUAAACCCCCGCGAGGUCCUACCUAGGUACAAAUAGAAUGUAUAUCUAAUUCAAAUCCAGCCAAUCCAGGGGUAUAAACAAAGCCCCAAGCCCGGCCUCUCGCAGAUUAAUUACUCGCACUGGUCAAUCACGUUUAACCUGCCUAAUCAGGGCGCGGGCAAGGCGCCUGGCCCUGCCUACCCCUGCCUGCACCUCGCCAAUCGCGAGCGGAACCUCCUCGCCGGCUCAACCAGUUUGUAACUGGGAUGUCGAGGACCCUGGGCUGGGCCGGGCCGGGCGUUGGGCUGCCCGGGCGCGCCGGGCUAGCGCUGUUUGGGGCUUUAUCCCAACAAAAAUCCAGCCCAAAACCGGCAAAUGUGGGGUUGGUUGGUUUUUUUUUUUUUCCCAGCUUGUCUUGAGCAGGAAGCAGUUUUUAAGCGUUGCCUUUCAAGACUGAUGCUUGUUAAAUAGGAUUUUCUUCUUUAUGAGUGAAUAUAUAUAAAGAAAUGCUCUGUAGUGUUUAAAUAAGUGUUAAAUUCCUGAAGUGCUGCCUCCAAACGCCCCUCUGGACCUGUGACUGAAAACGCAGGAUCAGACCUGCAGCAGGACAGGCCUGUGACAGUUAAGUAACAAGGAGCGUGUCUAUUGCAGGCAAACCCACUCCUCCCUUUCUGGUUUUAUUCCAAGUCUUUUCAUCUUUCAUCCAGGACUCGGGAAUUAGCUGGAGAAAUUUAUUUUACGAAGGUGUGAUUUAUGCCAGCAGAACUGUAGAAUUUUUUUUUGUUGUUAUUUAGAAAGUUGCUGUUUGAUGAUGUAAAUCAGCUCGCUUACAGCUCUUGCCUCUCUCCUUUUGCUCCGUUGAUACUAUUCUUGGUGUCCCGUGUGUGUGUGUUCUUUGUCUGGGUGAUGCAGUCCGGAGCAUGUUAAAAGUAAUUGAGAGUGGUUUAUGGGUUUGUUUAUUAAAAAAAAACCAAACAAAAAACCCCAAAACC